GAGACCCUAGUAAAAUCAUUACAUUGCCUUGUCAAGACAAAAUUGUGGGUUAAACCCCUGCGUGUCUCA
rnacentral:tRNA from 1 species